ensembl:lncRNA
CACCCACAGCUUCUCUGGGCAGCUGUGCCAGGGCCUCACUGCCCUCUCAGUAAAGAAUUUAUCCCUAACAACUAAUGUAAAUCUCCCCUCUUUUAGUUUAAAACCAUUCCCCUAGUCCUGUCAGCAUUGGACCAUGUAAAAAGUUGCUCUCACAAAGAGUGUAGUACUACACAAAUCUGUAUAUGAAUAUACUGCAAGUUCUGAAUGGUGAAAAUUGUAAGUGAUGAAAAAGUCCCCUCCCUAAAAUUAUCUUUGCCUGAAUCAUGGUUGAAAUGAGAGGGAAGAUACGCAUCAACAGUGGGACAAGCAGGAAACAUCAGCCUCUUCCCCAAACUUCUGCCAUCCUGUAUAUUCUCAGAAAAGUUUCUUGACUUUUCUUAUCCUGAUCCCAAAUUGACUGUAUUUUCCUCAUUUAAAAAUAACCCUGCCAUUCAGAGAGGAAAGCAAUAUUUAGCUCAGCCAGUGCCUUUGUUCUGCUGGCAGGAACUGUCAAACAUUAUGAAUACACAUAUGGAUUUACAUUUUGGGUAACAAAAUAGAAGACACAUCUGUCCUGAGAUUUCAGUGCAACAAAAGGACAGUCAAAAAAAUGACAAGUGGGGAAAACCGUGAUCACCAUCUCUCAUGAUGUUGAUUAGAAGUAGAUGUGCUGUGAUCCUAGAGUUAUAAGUACUUCUUGCUGCAAUACAGUCAGGUUUUUGUGUGUGUGUGAGUGGAGUAUUGGUGAAAAUUUGAAACUCGGGUAUCUCAACAUUCAAGUUGAUUACGGACUGUUUAGCAAUGCCUGUGGUGAGUCUGACACCUGGAAAUCUGAAGACACCGAAGAAGUAAUAGACUUUAAGCCCUCCAGGGUAACACAAGCAGUCACUUCUAUGGAGCAGUUCUGUAAUUUCUGGGUGAACUGUGGCAAACCUUCUAGAAUAGUAAGUAUACAAAGUUACACAUAGUUAUGUCUGAUUUUAUAUCUUGCUGGGGUUGCUUUUAUUUUUCAAUUAAACAGCAAAAGAUUUUUUUUCCAUUCAUUCACAAAAUUUCAGCACUAAUUCUGCAUUUCCCAUUUUAAAUUCUUUUGAUGACUGUAUUUUCUUCUAAGAUUUUUUUUCCCACACAUUUCCGAUUUCCACAAUCCUGUUUCCUCCAGUGGAAAAAAAGCAUGAUUAAA